rnacentral:rRNA from 1 species
GACGAACGCUGGCGGCGUGCUUAACACAUGCAAGUCGAACGGAAAGGCCCUGCUUUUGUGGGGUGCUCGAGUGGCGAACGGGUGAGUAACACGUGAGUAACCUGCCCUUGACUUUGGGAUAACUUCAGGAAACUGGGGCUAAUACCGGAUAGGAGCUCCUGCUGCAUGGUGGGGGUUGGAAAGUUUCGGCGGUUGGGGAUGGACUCGCGGCUUAUCAGCUUGUUGGUGGGGUAGUGGCUUACCAAGGCUUUGACGGGUAGCCGGCCUGAGAGGGUGACCGGCGACAGUGGGACUGAGAGACGGCCGAGACGCCUACGGGAGGCGUCAGUGGGGGGGAGGGCACACUGGGUGGAGGUCGUAUGCAGCGACCGCGUGUGCGGGAGGGCGGGGGUCGGGUUGGAAAACACUUGCGCCUGUGACGAAGCGUGCGUGACGGUAAUUGGUAAAGAAGCACCGGCUAACUACGUG